GGGGGAACCCNGAUGCAGCCNUGCCGCGUGAAUGAAGAAGGCUUCGGGUUAAGUUCUUUCGGUAGCGAGGAAGGUGGUAAUGUUAAUAGCAUUAUCAAUU
rnacentral:rRNA from 1 species